CCUACGGGAGGCUGCAGUGGGGAAUAUUGCACAAUGGGCGCAAGCCUGAUGCAGCCAUGCCGCGUGUGUGAAGAAGGCCUUCGGGUUGUAAAGCACUUUCAGCGGGGAGGAAGGCGGUGAGGUUAAUAACCUCAUCGAUUGACGUUACCCGCAGAAGAAGCACCGGCUAACUCCGUGCCAGCAGCCGCGGUAAUACGGAGGGUGCAAGCGUUAAUCGGAAUUACUGGGCGUAAAGCGCACGCAGGCGGUCUGUCAAGUCGGAUGUGGAAUCCCCGGGCUCAACCUGGGAACUGCAUUCGAAACUGGCAGGCUAGAGUCUUGUAGAGGGGGGUAGAAUUCCAGGUGUAGCGGUGAAAUGCGUAGAGAUCUGGAGGAAUACCGGUGGCGAAGGCGGCCCCCUGGACAAAGACUGACGCUCAGGUGCGAAAGCGUGGGGAGCAAACAGGAUUAGAUACCCCUGUAGUC
rnacentral:rRNA from 1 species